CAAUGGACGAACUCCCUUCCUCAGCUUCCUGUCGUAUAGUGACUAGGUGCAGUUAAAGGUGCAAAUAGAUCGGAUCGGAUCGGAUUACGAGUGAUCUCGAUCCUAUCCGGUUCUUUGAAUUGGACCCAAAACUAGUCUAAUAGAAAAUCGAGUCAGGUCAGGUUGGGUCCAGGAUCAAUUUUUUUGACCCAAUAGGUCAUUCAGGUUGGAUU
rnacentral:lncRNA from 1 species